rnacentral:tRNA from 1 species
GACCCGGUAGCUCAGUGGAUAGAGCGUCACACUACGAAUGUGAAAGUCGUGGGUUCGAGUCCCUCCCGGGUCG